rnacentral:lncRNA from 1 species
CAGGUGUGGCCCUACAAAGGAAAAAAAAAAAAUGAUCUUCAGGGGGCGUAUAACACAGCGUGAGGUGAUAAGGAAGGCUUCCUGGUGGAGGUUGCAUUUAUUCUGAGGCCAAAGAUCAGUUGUAGGUGGCUGGCAGCAGGGAGUGGAGGAAUGCUACAGGCAAAGGGAACAGCACAGGUGAAGAGAUUAAGGUGGGAGAGUGUGGGGAAUCGAAGAACCUAAAUUCCUUAAGGCUGAGUGGAAACUUGAAGGCUUGGGGUUAAGUUUGGUGGAGAGGGCCUCCCUUUCUCAAGGGCCAACUUUAGGUUUACCCAUGACAGCCCAUGCCAUGGGCUUCCAGGCACCAGAACCUUACCUAACCCACCACCUGUAUCCUAUCACCCAUUCCUCACAUGAUCACCCCCACUUUCCAGGGGAGAAACAGGAGCUCCUAAAUGUAAAUAGAUUUCCCUGGGUCAUGUAGACGCCAAGUGGUGGAUGGCAGUCCAGACCGCCUGCUCCUCUCUUUUGUCAUCUAUAAGACGAGGACCUUGGCUUCAUAGAUGAGACAGAAGCACCUGGCUCCGUAACUGACACAUUACAGAGACACCUCUGCUAAUCGGUGGCCCCCCAAGUCCAGGCAGGUCACUCUGACCAUUCGGCACAGCCUGCUGGAAAAGGGCUGAGUCUGAGAGAAAAUACAGCUCAGAAGAGGCAGUGAAGGAGUUCCUGUGAUGGCUCGGUGGUAAUGAACCUGACUAGUGUCCAUGGGGAUGCGGGUUUGAUCCCUGGCCUUGCUCAGCGGGUUAAGAAUCUGAUGUUGAUGUGAGCUAUAGUGUCAGUUAGACGUGGCUCGGAUCCGGUGUUUCUGUGGCUGUGGUGUAGACCAGGGGCUAUAGCUCCAGUUUGACCCCUGGUCUGGGAACUUCCAUAUGACGCAGGUGCAGCCCUAAAAAGACCAAAAAAAAAAAAAAAAAAAAAAGUAUCCUAAAGAAAGAAGUAGGGGAGCUGUUCUAAACUCAGGCCUCCCAAGUAUAAGAUUCUCAACCUCCUCUCCUUUUGCAGCCUGGGGAAGGUCACUUAAUAGCAGGGACACUGAGCAGAAUUGUCAUCAGCCCUGGUGUCACCCCUGCAUGGCCUCAGCUGCUCCUGCGGUAGCUGUGUGUUGUUAUCCCCGUUUUAUAGACAGACAGGCAGAGCUGGAGAAGGUUAGCUGGCUUGUCCAAGGUCGUGGAGGUAUCAGCCUUGGAUCAGGCUUGAACCCUGGUCUCUGAUGGAUGACAGCUGCUUGCCCUCUAACAUAUAGGUGAUUAGAGCACAGUAUGAAGAGAGCUAUGAUUUGGCCUAAGACUGUGGCUCAGAAAGCCUGCGGAGGAGGGUCCUGGAACCUUCUUGAAGGAGGAUGAGGUGACCCUGGAUUGGAGUCCUGAAGAACAAGAAAGUGUUGUCCAGGAGGGGAGGAGAAGGAAAGGGGUUCCAGGGGGCAGGACCCGGUGGGGACGAAGGUUGGGAUGGGGCUGGGGUCUGUGGCUCUUCUAGAAAGUAAGGGUCUAGGGUGACAGUAGGAGCCGAGGGAGGCAGACCCUUCCCAACUGGACCUGAUUCUGUACAUCUGUAUCUUCCCCUCGGCACAUCCAUUGUCUCCCUCUAACCUAAGCCUGAGGAGAGAGCGGCCCCUGAAAAGUGCUUUCCUGUCUGAACCAGGUUUGUGGUGAAAGGACCCAGCUGGCUAGAGGCUCAGGGAGGUUCACGUAUCCCAUCUGGAUGGCCUCCAAAGAGGAGUCUUUAGAGGAGGGCGAGAGCGUGGCGGCCGCUGCUUGCCUCUGUUUCACCGCCCACCCUACUCUCUCUCUCUCACUUGUUUCUCGUCCAGCUGCUGCCCCCACACCUCAUCACUUACCCUGGGCUGACGGAGGAAGGCCCACCAUGCUGCCGUGGAGACCCCCGGUGCCUGGUGCUGACAAUGGAGAGCUGGACUCCAUGUGGCUUGAUGAUCGGGGGACAGAUAAGGGUCAUUAACACUUUUCUUAAUGACAGAACCCCUAAGCGGACCUGCUAGCCCCCGACAGGCAGAGCCAGGAGGAACCUCGGAGAUCUGGGCUUCAUCCUGUUUAUUUUAUUUAAAUGAGUUAAUAGAUGGGAGUGCUUGGAUGAGUGCCGAGCACAUAGCCAGUGUUGGACGAGCCUUUGCUAUUGCUGUUAUUAGUGCUGUCAUAUUUAUAGGUGGAGAGGGGACUACCCAGUUACACAGUGAGUGACAGACUGAACUGAGGCACGCUCAGGCCUGGGCUGUUUCCGAGGCAUCUUGCUGCGCUGAGGAGGCCUCUUCAGGGGCUCGCUUUCCACCCAGUGGCUGAUUUUUUUUUUUUUUUUUUUUUUUGGACCAUACUUGUGGCACCUGUAGCUCCGAUUCGAUGCCUAGCCUCAGAACCUCCAUAUGCUGCAGGUGUGGCCCUAAAAAAAAAAAAAAAGACAAGAAAUAAAAAAGGUCUCUUAGUCUGAUCUCAUCCCCCAACAGCAGUGUACAAUAGGUGUCAUCAUUUCAUGAAGGAGAAAACUGACUAUGUACUUAGGAGGCCUGCCCUCAGAAGAUGCUCAACACAUUUUAAUUUCCUCAGUCCUCCAGGCGGGUACACCGACUAACAGAGAUGCCUGCAUUGAAAUUUAUCCCCCACCCAGAAUGAGAAAUGAGAAAUGCUGACCAGGCGAGUGAGAGAAUCACUAGGCUCGGGGGACCUGCAUGGGGCCAGGGCUGGAUGGGAGGCUGGUGGGUGGCUAGCUGCUGCUGGGGUUGGGGGGGCAAUGAGAGUACCUUAGGGGGCAUCCAUCUGUCUUGUCCUUUGACAUUUGAGGUAAAUAAGUACCUGCUCCUCACUCUGCAAAGGAUCGGCACUUCCUGCUGCUGAGAAGAAGGUCCAAAUUGAAUCCAUUCUGGGAAAGAUGGGUGACGGGCCAGGGGCACUGGCCUCAGGCUGGAGAGGUGAGGCUGGAAGGGAAAAUUAAGGGACUCUUGCUUAGGGAGUAGCCACCAAGGCCUGCAGUGUUAGGCCCAGGAUCCUUUCGGAAAUUUGCUAAGGUCAGUUUUAGGGGAAGUAAAAGGCUGUUAGUUCUGUUCUACCAGGAUGCAGGUUACAGAAAGGCACAAUAUAGCACACUGGUUUAGGGCCCUGUCUCUGGAGCCAGGGUUCAAAUCUUAGCCCUGUGACCUGUGUGACCCUCAGCAACUUUUCAUAAUCUAUUUUGUUCCUCUGUUUCCUCACCUGUCAAAUGGGAGAAUGUUGCCAUUACAGGCCUCAUAGAGUUUAUAUACAGGAAGUGCUCAGAAUAGCACCUGGCACAUAGUAAGUCAUUGAUUAAUGUUGCUAUUAUUAUUGCUGUUAUUUAAUACCUAUGAGUCAUCGGUCUCUUAUUGGAUCCCCUUAGCUAAUUCUCCCACAGAGAGUAGUGGGCUUAGGUAUAAACCUUGAUGGUCUAACUUCAAAGGCUCUGAGCUUUCUCCUCGGUCAGGCUGACUCUCACAUUCUUUCAGUCUCCAUCUGAACUCUUUCUCUUGAUUGAAAUAUCGCCACUUCCUCGCACUGAAUGAGACUGUGGAGAGAUCUGUGAGAAGGUGAAUUUCUGGGCACCCAGGGCACUAAGGCAAAGCUAGAAGUCAUCUGCCCCAUCUCUGAGGCCAGCAUUCUUGUCUGGAUAAGAUGGCCUGGUGCACACAGCCUGCCGAGAGACUCCAUGGCUUAUCUCCUUUUUUUGGGGUUGGCAGCUGCAGGGCUGCAGAUAUCACAUCAUCUCCACGAGCCUUGUCUCCAUCUUUCUCUUCCACUUCAUGGUCUUAUGGCUGGCGGGGCAGCUCAAGGGGGCUCUGCCAUGGAGAACCACUCAUAGGUGGAGUUUUGCAGAGAAGGGGCCUCAGCUGUUGUCAUUCUUGGAGUCGCUUCUAUAAUACAAAAAUGGGGGGAAAGAAGCCAAACAGCAUUAUAAAAUGGGGUGUGUUUAAAGUGAGACUGUCAUCAUGCCAUUUUCCUAAUCCCACUGGAACACAUCUGGGGCUGUACAUAUUGCCUUUUGGAGCCUACACGGAACAUCUCAUGCAGCCCUUUGGGCCUGGAGGGGUGGUAGGCUCAGGUCCCCUCCUGACCCCUGUGAGACAAGUCAUCGUUUAGCCUGGCCUCUGCCCCCCGCGAGGCCUAGACUCAACUCCUUAGGUAGGCUGUGUCUCUGUUCCUGAGUAUGCCUGGUGCAGGUGUGCUUGACAAUCCAUCUGACAGAAAGAAAUCGACUUUACCUCCUUCUAGAGCCUCUGGCCUCUAUGCUUUGUCUUGCCAACUGUGUGGCCAGCUUUCCCACAUCUUGCUGCCUUCUUCUGUGCCUGGUUCAGGUUCAGGCUAAAGGUUGCAGUCUGAGGAACCCUCUGUGCGUUCUUGGGUUUGGAUGAGAGCUCUACUUAGGAGUACAGAGUACAGAGCUAUGCUUCUGGGAUAGGGUCGUGUCCUGCACACCAAGAGCCCAGGGUGUGCAGUGGCUCAAGCCCUGAGAGCAGAUGUGAGGAUGACCCAAGAGAGCCAGUGACUGGCCCAGAGCCUGGCACACAGCAGUGCUUCUGCAUGAAGGAAUCAGCGAGGAAAGUAGCCCUGGGCCCUGGCUUCUGGAUCCCCCUUGGGAUGUCCCCAAGCAUCUGUCCUUCCCUCAGUCACCACACUGGCCCAAAGUCACAAUUGUGCCUCCCCGCUUCCAUCCCACUCUGCUUUGAUUGUGAGCCUUAGUACAAGACUUGCAUCUCGGCUUAGCAUCUUCAGCACCUGGCACCGCAUCUGGCCUGCAGAGGGCGCUCCGUCAUAUUGACGGGAUGAAUGAAUGGCUGGUCCUACCUUUCAUUCCCCCAGGGCUGCAAGCUGGAGAAGCAAAACCAGGCACCGGAGCUCACUGUCCUAUCUCCAGCUUAGUGGUGCCCCUGCCGGUUGCUCGAGGUCCAUGAUGGGACUCCAGGCAGCAUGAGGAAAGUGUUAGGGCAAGAGCAAGUUGGGAGUCAUGUGGAGACCCGUCCCCACGCCUCCCAGACACAGCCCGCGGUAGCUGAGCGAGGUCUUUAGAAGGCAGAACAAAACUACACUGGCCUGGAAUAAUCAUUGUUUUCUUGCUCAACUUACUCUUUCUGUCCAGAAUUGGUUCAUCCCUUAAACGGCUAAUGAGGUUUCUCCUCGCUGGAGGAGGGGCAUAUGUUAAGAGGGGCCCACUCAAGGUUACAUGGGGCAAUAUAUUUCCUAAAGAGUCUAUCCUGAGGUCCCUCAUUUUACAGAAGAGGACUUUAUGUGAGUUAAGAAAUGUGUUCAAGGUCACAUGACUAAUCAGUAAUUAUACUACUUGCUAUCACUUACUGUGGAUUAGCCACUCACAGUAUUAUUACAGAGUUGUUGGUUAAAACAGCCUUAUGGUUUAGGUUUAAUUAUGCCCAUUUGACAGAAGUAGAAACUGAGGCUUAGAGAGGUUAAGUAACUUGCCCAAUGCUACCUUCCCUGUCCAGAUCUUGCAGACUCAGGGCCUGUGCUGCAGAGAUUCUUAGUAGAAUAUGUACACUGGAUUUGCCUCUGACACCUAUAAAAAUUCCUCAUGCCAGAGCCCCACUUCAGACCUGCCAAAUCAGAACUUCUGUGUAAGUUCUGCUCCUCAAGUGAUUCUGAUGUGUUUCCUGCUUGAGGAUCUCGGCAUAAGAAAUUCACCUUUAAUGGAAAAGAAAAAAAGAAAAAA